rnacentral:rRNA from 1 species
UACGAAGGGGCUAGCGUUGUUCGGAAUUACUGGCGUAAAGCGCACGUAGGCGGCUUUGCAAGUCAGAGGUGAAAGCCCGGGCUCAACCCGGAUUGCCUUGAGACUGCAUCGCUAGAAUUGUGGAGAGGUAAGUGGAAUUCCGAGUGUAGAGGUGAAUGCGUAGAUAUCGGAGGAACACCAGUGGCGAAGGCGACUACCUGGACCAGCACCGACGUUCAGGCACGAAGCGUGGAGCAACAGG